rnacentral:lncRNA from 1 species
CACUUCAAUUACUCAAUACUGGAGUUAUCUAAAUAACAGGCUGCAACAUAGCAAAGUAUCAGUAAUUUCAGUAAAAUCAAUUAUUUUGAAGAAAAGGUUAAAUAUUUCCCUAGAUUCCUGAUUAUUUCAAAGCAACUGUGACUGUGCAAGUGACACAAGCUUUGCUAAUAAUCCCUUUGGAAUGGAAUCUAAUGACUAUUUGCAUACAAACAUAGCAAUUCAGAAAACACUCUAUAACCACAUUAAACAACUCAUCCAGUUUGGAUGGGCAAAGUUAAUUUAAGCUACGGAACAUAAAGCUCUUUUCCUUGAACUGGCCACACAGUACUCCAGCUGGGGUGAUCCUGUUUCUGAGUACUGCUGGAGCACUACUUUGAGCACCCUACAGUGCUUUCUUGUGGAUUUUUCCCUGAUAACAUCUCAUCCUUACAUAUCAGAAAGAAACCUGAACAUUAAUCACAAGACUACAGAGAAAGACGCCUCUGUGCUAGAAGCUUAUGACUUUUUACAAAGCAAUCUGUCAGAUGCAGAAGUCAGAUCUACAGGCUGCCUGAGGAAGAGCACGGGAACUCAAAUCCCACGGCGCAGUUUCCUAAUCCCCAUAACACCACUGUCACUCCCUUCACUGAAAUGUAGCAGGAGAAGUUAUUUCAGCCAGUGUGACAGGAAGUUUUCUUAAACUUGUGGAAUUGCCCAGGCCCAAAUGGGGAUUCUGCAAAAAUAUCCUACUUCUAGGCUGGAGGUUAAACUCCUUGUGGACUUUCAGACGUGGUUGGUAUUUCUUGGAGGAGCAGGAACCUCGCAAAGUGCAUUUGAAGCUCUCUUCUAAUAAAACAUUAGCCUGAGCUGUGUUCUUCA